rnacentral:rRNA from 1 species
AGUGAACGCUGGCGGUAGGCCUAACACAUGCAAGUCGAACGGCAGCACAGUAAGAGCUUGCUCUUACGGGUGGCGAGUGGCGGACGGGUGAGGAAUACAUCGGAAUCUACUUUUUCGUGGGGGAUAACGUAGGGAAACUUACGCUAAUACCGCAUACGACCUACGGGUGAAAGCAGGGGAUCUUCGGACCUUGCGCGAUUGAAUGAGCCGAUGUCGGAUUAGCUAGUUGGCGGGGUAAAGGCCCACCAAGGCGACGAUCCGUAGCUGGUCUGAGAGGAUGAUCAGCCACACUGGAACUCAGACACGGUCCAGACUCCUACGGGAGGCAGCAGUGGGGAAUAUUGGACAAUGGGCGCAAGCCUGAUCCAGCCAUACCGCGUGGGUGAAGAAGGCCUUCGGGUUGUAAAGCCCUUUUGUUGGGAAAGAAAAGCAGCAGGUUAAUACCUCGCUGUUCUGACGGUACCCAAAGAAUAAGCACCGGCUAACUUCGUG